rnacentral:tRNA from 1 species
GAUAAAGUAGUCUAAGUAAGGACAGAAAACCUAUGAUUUUCAAGUGUUGUAAUUAACCUAUAUUU